GACCAGGGUUUCAUAAAAAUUGAACGACGACAACCUGUCACCUAAAAACGAUUCCGAAGGAGAAAUCGAUAUUAUUUUCGCUGUUCAGCAUCGCCAGCAAUUGAAAUUUACGCCUAACCCACCUGACAGGGGGAAACCGAAAUCAUUCAUAGCAAGCAGCUGACUCAGGCAACGUUAGGCAUAUUAAUCGCAAGCGGAGUUUCCAAGAAAUCAUUCUCAAAAGAACCUUUCAGAACGAUAAAGGAGAAAUUUCUCUCGGCAUAAGACGUGGAAAUACUUUUAGCAGCGGCUCUAUCGUCUCAUACAGGACCUUGUCAACAUGUAUUGUGAUCUGUGCAAGACCAGGAAGCUUCGAAGAGAAUUUCCGUUAGAUACCAUAACAGAGAAAUGCGAUCAUGCCCCUUUGCAUUGUCUUAGGUGCGUUACACAGCAUGUUCAGAAGUCCCAUAAGUGUUCUCAGUGCUCUCAAGCCGUCAGUACAAGUGACCCAAGGUACCUUGAAUGCAUAGCAACUCUUGAGAACCUAUUUCCAAAAUACACCGCG